rnacentral:lncRNA from 1 species
AUUUGCAGACAGACGAAGCUAUAGAGAGGGACAAUGCAAGUAACCUCAAAUGAGAGUGUGGAAAGGCGGGAAAGCAGCCAGAGCUUCAUUGUUAUGAAAAAAGAGUGAAAUGUGCUCUGUUGAAGAGUUGAAGAAUGAACAAAGGAUAUUUAGUUUGAAUGGAAGCUCAGUAAUGAGAAAUGAGAAUGGUUGAGUUCUUAAAAGAAGCAAGUAAAGAAGAGGAUUUGUGGGCUACUAAUCUCAUUCAGUGAAUCUCAUACGACCCUUGCCUAGUGUUAAAUAUGUUAAUGAAUUCAUGUCAUGCUGCUCAGUCUUACUAGCCUUCAUCAUCCAGAGUAAAAUGCAUAUGAUUCCUAUGAAAAUUUGUGGAAAGGAAUAUAUUAAUAGGUUAGAAGAAUUAGAAGAAUGAAAAGAAAUAAUUUUUGCUUUUUAAAUGGAGAAUCAUGCAUAUUUGGAGACACAAGGGAAGAAGCCCAUGGAGAAGGAGAGAUGAAGCUGUAAAAGAAAGAUGCUAUGAAUGUGCUCUCGACAGGUGAGAAGAUGCCUCGACAGGGGCAUGGGGAAGCAACUGUCUGUUAAUCCACAAGCAAUGGAAACAGUAUUGCCUGAAGAAAAUGACUAAAAUGAUAGCCAAUGAAUACCAAUAUAAGCUGAUGCUUUUAGGGAAGAGCUGCUGCAGAAGCACAGACAAAUCAUUGGAGAGUACCUUGUGAAAAUGGCUGCAGAUCACUGAGGACAUUACUCAGAGUCUUGUUCUGGAAGCACCCCAGAGAAGCAGGUUGGGACCACAAAAGCUUUACCUUAGAAAGUAGAUUGACAUCUGGAGAAAAAUUGGACCUAUCUACUUCUUUUAUGAGGGCAGGAACUGAGUGACUGUCUUGCUUUUCAGGUAUCCACAUCACCUAACACAAUGCCUGGCAAAUAAGGAGGCACUCAAUAAAUCUAAUUGUUCAAUAAAUUCAAUGAAUGUCAAAUCUCAUUAAGAGAGAGAGAUUAGUGAGAUUGAGUGAUUGAUUUUGAGCUAGUGGAAAAAAAUGCAGGGGAAGAUAGCCAGCAAUACUUUGUAUCUAUGUACCAACACUAUGCUACUUGUUUUACAUAUAUUAUUUUACAUAUAUUAUCUUUUUAAAAAAUAGUCUUGAUAAACCUCAUUUUUUUAUUCCUACUUUACACUGGAAGAUAAAGCUCAAAGAAAUUACAGAUCACCCCAGGAUCACACUGUUAGUAAGUAUCAGUGUGAUGGUUUUAAACCAGUUGUGUUGGGCUCCAAAGAUAGAGACUUUACACUACACCAAGUUUUAGAAGAGCUCAGUGAUUUCAAAAAGGAGCAGAUUUACUCUCACAAAGCAGUAGUUCUCUAUCUCUAGAAAUUAUAGUAGCUUUAGAGUUGGAAGGGAGAUUAGUGAUACGCUUCAACUGCCUCUUGCAAUGGAUGAGGGAUUGAAGUCAAGAGAAGUAGAGGCAUGCUCACAUGCAUGGCAAGAAUGGGGCAGCAUAAAGUUGUAUGCCUUCUUGCGUACUGCCAGCACACUUUCAAUUAUUUACCGAAUAUCUGUCUUUCACACCAAAUAAUAAGUUCGAUCUAUGAAGUCAGGUGCAUUAAUUAUCUUAUUUAUUUAAUAUCUCAGGACAAACCUACAUAAUAAUAUAUCAAUAAGUAUUUAAUAACUGCAUAGAUGAAUGACUGGAAACAGUACUUGAACCCAGGUUUCCAAACCUGAAAUGUUUGAACAGAAGGUUUGUGAUCCUUUAUCAGUGGUGUUCUGUGUUAGGUGUGACUUGUACUAGAUAGUCACCAUGGUCCCUUCCAGAAGUAACAUCUAUAAAAUUAAAUCAGCCUGGGAGUCUCUGAUCUUUAUGCCUACUGCACCCUAUCUAUACUUCUAUUUUAGCAUUUAUUGAAUUGCACUGAAAUAACUGUUUACAUUCGUAUUUUUCUUACCAGAGUAAAAGUAUAUGCGAGUUGAGACUGUGUUUUUAUAGUGGUUUCCA